UCCGCACCCAGGAUCCGAACUGGCGAACCCCGGGUUGCCAAAGCGGAAUGUGCGCACUUAACCGAUGCACCACUGGGCCAGCCCCCUCUUGUGCUUUUCUUAUUGUAGCUGCAUUUUUAAUCUGAUUCCUCUGGCUGGCUCUGAGGCCUUUAGGAAGCCGCCUUCUCACUAGAAGGGCUAAAAUUAAAAAGGUAGUUGAUGCCACAUGGCAAGGCCGUGGAGGAACUGAAACACUCAUACAGGGCUGGCGGGAACGGAGAAGGACACAGUGCAAAAUGGAGGAGAGCUUCUGAUGAAGUUAAAUGCACACCUACCUGUGAUUGAACAGUUCUUCUCUUCGGCAUCUGCCCAAGAGAAAUGACAACCCACAUCCAUACAGAGUUCUGCACAUGAAUGUCCACAGUCACUUUGCGCAUAAUUGCCCCAAAGGGGAAGCCAACCAGAUGUUCAUCGACAGACAAAUGGAUAAAGAAACUGUGGUGCACCCAUGAGACGGACUACUACUCGGAAGGGCAAGGGAUGGGCAAGAGCCUCCAGGAAUCUCACAGACAUUACGUUGAGCAAAAGAAGCUGGACAUGGUUUUCCCCCAAGUGAGGAGAUGAUGUGAGAAGUCUGUGAUGUGAAACAGGGCCCUCACCCCACCGUGCUGGCACCCUGAUCUCAGACUUCCAGCUUCUAGAACGGUGAGGAGUGAGGACGCUGGCGAAGUCACAGCCCCCAAGAGUGUGGCUUCUGUCUUCCCCACCGCCCCGGACCUGGGGCCAGGCCUGGCCAUGUAUCAAGAAGCUGGGCUGGACUGUGAAGGAGGAGGGGCUGCUGGGGUUCCUCAGAGGGGCCUCCCCAGGGGCAGAAAGCACCAAGGCCAUUUACCCUCCAGGGAAUUCAAGGGCUGCCCCAGUUCCCAGUGGAUUUACGAGCGGGUCAAGUGGACCUGAACAAAGAAAGGCUCCUUUCCCCCCCUUUUCGCUAGGUAGCCUCCCCCACCGGGUGUGCAGGCUCUCCUGGCAGAAAUUGCUCCAUUCCCCAUCACCGCCGCCUCUCUCGCUCUUCUGGCGUGAGGGUUUUACAAUAACAGCAUUGUAACCACUUUGAGAAAACCAAUAAAAAGGCGGUGACAAAGGAAUAGCAAGCCGGCUGGAAAUUGCACGCAGCAGCCAGGGCCUGGGCCUUUUGGCGCUGUGUAUUUAAUAGUGCUCCCGGGCUGCAGGCUGCAAAGACGCACAUGUUUAUUUGGGGGAUGUGCUGUGGCUUAAAUGAUGAAUCUCGCAUAAGUAUUUGGAUGAACGCAGGAGGCCCUGACUCCCACAGCCGCUCAAGCCGGUAAACCCAGGAAACGGAGAACCCAGUAAACGCCCUGGUCAGACCUGUAGAGCCUGCUGCCCUGUCUUGUGUGAUGCAGAGGGAGGAGCAUCUGCAUUCAUUCAUUCAUUCAUUCCUUCAUUCAUUCAGCAACAAAACCGGAUUGACCAUGCACUAAACGGUGAGCCCCGUGCUAGACACUAAGCCGUAAAAACACUUUCCCAGUCUGCUUCAGUACACAUAUUGCAGAAAAUUCCAGAGGCAACUUUUGUCUGAGGUCAACACCAGUGCUGGGCCCUGUCCGGUUUCCUGUCCUCUGGGUGCUGACCACCCUGUCCACUGACCCUUGGGGGCCCUCAUGCUCACCAACUCUUGGCUCCGGUCCUCUCCCCUGCUUCCUCAUUCCUCACUGCUCCAAAGAGAAAUUCAAAGUCCUUUAUACAUUUAUUAAUUCUUAGCUUAAAAAAAAUUUCAGGCUCACAGAAAAGUUGCAGAAAUAGUACAAAGAAUUCUGAUAUGCCCUUCACCCAGAUUCUCCAAGGGUUAGCAUUUUACUAAUUUCCUUUAUUCUCUCUCUCUCUCGACAGAUAGAUAGAUAGAUUAGCUAGCUAUAGAUAUAGAUAUUUCUGAACUAUUUGAGAAUAAGUUGCAGACAUGGGGACCCUUUACCUCUGAUCCUUUGGAAUAGAUUUCUUAAGAAACAAGGAUAUUCUCUUACAUAACCACAAUGCAAUUAUCAAAAUCAGGAAAUUAACAUUGCUUUCAUACUGUGAUCUAAUCUACAGAAUUCACAUUUCUUCAAUUGUCCCACUAGUGUCCUUUAUAGCAAAAGAAAAGAAACUUUUUUCUGUCCCAAGAUCCAAUUCAGAAUCAUAUAUUGCCUUUCAUUGUCCUGUCCCUUUAGUCUGCUUUCAUCUGGAACAGUCCCUCAGCCUUUAGGUGCGUUUCUUGACCUUACAUUUUUAAAGCAUACAGGCUAGUUAGUUUGCAAAAUGUCCUUCAACUUGGGUUUGUGUCAUGUUUCCUCACGACCAGAUUCAGGUUCCGUGUGUUUGGCAAGAAUAUCAGAGAAGUGAUGCUGUGUCCUUGCUGCUGCUUCGUUUCAGGAGGCACGUGACGUCAGUUUGUGAUUUGGUUAAAGGGGUGCUUGGCAGCGUUCUCCAAAGGAAAGUGGGGAUUAUUCCCUUUGUAGUUAACGGAUCUUGAGGGCAAAGCCCUUUACUAAUUUGAGGGUUUUGGUCACCAGAAGGAAUGACCGGCAUGGUGAGGCGGAAUGGCCCCUUGCCUGCAUUUCCAACUCCCUCUGGAGGAGAAGCUCUUCCAGGACCUCGCAGUUUUAUGAGCGAGGACGGGGCUCUGGAACCUCUCAUCAAGACUCCUGCUCCACACUCCCACCUCCAACAGCCUCUUUUCCCAACCCAGAGGUCAGAACAGCAAUCUGCAAAACAGCAGGGGGUCCAGUUCCUCCAGGUGACACCCUUCCCACGGGAACGGAGCUGUUAGUUACCUCACCCUGAAACAAUCCCUUUCGGGCAUGUCCUUUAAUGUCUCUUCUCUAGGUCUCCCGUGGGCUGGAGGAUCAGGUGUUAAUAUCAUCAAGUCACAGGCGAGAAGCCUGAGACCCGAAGAGGUUAAACCUCAGUAAACUGACCUCAUUUGGGUUUUCUGAAUUUGUCUGUGAUCUGCAGACCACUCCAGAACUAGUAUUCGCCUUUCUUUGAAGCUAUAGAAUGAUGUGCUGUGGGGUUGUAAACAUUUAAUUUCCGAAAUGGCCGGCAGUGUAACCUGAGUGCGUCUCGUUGCUGAGGACGUGGGAAGGAGCACCCUGACAUUUCUGCUUGUGAUUUCAAGUACCCUCCUCUACUAGUUAUAGCUUUCAUCCCCCAGAGCACACAGACACUCAGAAAGAGGAUGCGGAAGAUGGAGAAAGAGGCCAAUGCGAAGACAGCCAACUUAGAAAACAGCAGGGCCCACUUUGGAAGAGAGCAAGGCCAAUUAGCCUUUUUGGGGGCCAAACUAUAACCUGGGUUGCUAAAUGAAAGAUCCCAGGAUCCUACUAUCUGUUGUCAACAAAGGCCCCUAACUGUUUAAAUGAAUAUAUUGGUAGCCAUCCUCGUCGCAUGGUCACUUACGUAUAUAUAUGUGAUACAGGUGCUUGUGUGUGUGUGCGCGUGUGUGCGCAUGCUCAUGCAUGCACAUAUGCCUCUGUGUGUUCCGACGUAGAGAGAUAUUUACACACUCUGUGAGAUGCAAAAAUAUACGAAUCAUAUGGGAAUCUAUUUAAAAUAUUGAUAUUCUCAGUUAAAUCAACACUGCACAAUAAUGUCAUUGCACACACGAGCUCUCCCCCUCCCGAAGCGCUGCUUGGAAUACCAGAAUCGGCAACUUGCUACAAUAAGCCGAAACGUCCAGAAACUACACUUGAACUAAUGCCGAAAACCCGACGGAGACAUACUUCAUAGUUAAUCUGGUUACUCGGGGUUUAUUUCACAGUCAGAAGUUCUUAUGAUGGAAGGCGCUCCUGCUGGCUUCUCCCAGACACACGACUGAAUUAAUGAAUGAAUGAAUUCAACUUACCCGAGCAGAUUUAAACUGCUUACUGAAACAAAAUCUGGUCAUUUUUCUUCCUUCCGUUUUCUUUUAAAAGAUAAAUACGAGCCUCAUA